rnacentral:rRNA from 1 species
AUUGAACGCUGGCGGCAGGCCUAACACAUGCAAGUCGAACGGUAACAGGAAGAAGCUUGCUUCUUUGCUGACGAGUGGCGGACGUGUGAGUAAUGUCUGGGAAACUGCCUGAUGGAGGGGGAUAACUACUGGAAACGGUAGCUAAUACCGCAUAACGUCGCAAGGCCAAAGAGGGGGACCUUCGGGCCUCUUGCCAUCGGCUGUGCCCAGAUGGGAUUAGCUAGUAGGUGGGGUAACGGCUCACCUAGGCGACGAUCCCUAGCUGGUCUGAGAGGAUGACCAGCCACACUGGAACUGAGACACGGUCCAGACUCCUACGGGAGGCAGCAGUGGGGAAUAUUGCACAAUGGGCGCAAGCCUGAUGCAGCCAUGCCGCGUGUAUGAAGAAGGCCUUCGGGUUGUAAAGUACUUUUAGCGGGGAGGAAGGGAGUAAAGUUAAUACCUUUGCUCAUUGACGUUACCCGCAGAAGAAGCACCGGCUAACUACGUG